UACAGAGGGUGCAAGCGUUGUUCGGAAUUAUUGGGCGUAAAGAGCUCGUAGGCGGUUUGUCGCGUCUGCUGUGAAAACUGGGGGCUCAACCCCCAGCCUGCAGUGGGUACGGGCAGACUAGAGUGCGGUAGGGGAGAUUGGAAUUCCUGGUGUAGCGGUGGAAUGCGCAGAUAUCAGGAGGAACACCGAUGGCGAAGGCAGAUCUCUGGGCCGUAACUGACGCUGAGGAGCGAAAGCAUGGGGAGCGAACAGG
rnacentral:rRNA from 1 species